rnacentral:lncRNA from 1 species
AGUACUGGCUUCAACUUACCACUCUCAAAAUAGGGGUUCAGUUUCUCUAAAAUAGCCCCAUCAGUACUUAGAAUGAACAAUAUAGCUGGAGGAAAUCCAGGUGGUACUAUGGUCACAACUUUGCCUCCUUCUUUCAAAGCCUUGAAGGCCUGUUCAGUUUGCCCUGUUUGAGUUUAGGAAAAGAAAAGUUAGUGUUCCACAGGACACAUGAUCAACCUCAUGAACUUCUGAUAAAAGAGUAGGUUCAAAAAUCUGACCUACUGUAUCAUACACCACAUCAAACUUUUCAGGCAGGUCUUCAAAAUUCUCUUUAGUAUAAUCAAUUGGCAAGUCAGCCCCCAAAUUCCUCAAUAACUCCAGUUUCCUAGUGCUACCUGUUGCUCCUACCUUGGAUGCUCCAUAUACAUGCUUGGCAAGCUGUGUCAAUUAAGCAUUAUUGAUUAUAAUCACUUUCCAUGAAAUAUUGAUACGGAAGUUGAGACCACAGGAAGAAAAUUACUGUUUUCUCUAUUCAAUUCGUAGAAUUCGAAGUUACUGAAUACGUAAAGUGUGAUGUUUAUAGUUCAUAAUGUUGCAUGUAAACGGGAAAUGUAACUCAAAUAACGACUCUAAUAUAAUGCGACUCUAAUAACGACUAGAAACAGCAUGUCUAAUUUCAGUUCAUGCGGAAUGAAUUUAACUAAUCAUAAUGAAACAGAAAAGAAGAGGUCAAGUAUCAGUACAAGAAGAUCUUAAUAGAUUCUAAAAAAGCACAUUGAUUAAUGAAUCAAUAAGAUUGCAGGACGUCUUACUCUACCUGAAUAACAUGGGUUCCAACCCCACCAGCACCUCCAAGCACAAGGAUAGAUUUCCCAGCAGAAAACCCAGUUCGUUCAAGGCCUUCAUAAGCUGUCUCAAGUGUUAAAGGAAGGCUAGCAGCCUCAGCAAAGCUCAGAUUCUGUGGCUUGUGAGCCAAUAGUAUCUCUUCUGCAGUAGUGUACUCAGCCAAAGAACCACUCACCUUCGGAUAUUCCAA